rnacentral:tRNA from 1 species
GGUCUAAUAGCUCAACUGGUAGAGCACUGAACCAGCUUCACAGGGGUCAGGUUUGAAUCCCUGUUUAGGCCU